GGUUAAGCGACUAAGCGUACACGGUGGAUGCCCUGGCAGUCAGAGGCGAUGAAGGACGUGCUAAUCUGCGAUAAGCGUCGGUGAGGUGAUAUGAACCGUUAUAACCGGCGAUUUCCGAAUGGGGAAACCCAGUGUGUUUCGACACACUAUCAUUAACUGAAUCCAUAGGUUAAUGAGGCGAACCGGGGGAACUGAAACAUCUAAGUACCCCGAGGAAAAGAAAUCAACCGAGAUUCCCCCAGUAGCGGCGAGCGAACGGGGAGGAGCCCAGAGCCUGAAUCAGUGUGUGUGUUAGUGGAAGCGUCUGGAAAGGCGCGCGAUACAGGGUGACAGCCCCGUACACAAAAAUGCACAUAUUGUGAGCUCGAUGAGUAGGGCGGGACACGUGGUAUCCUGUCUGAAUAUGGGGGGACCAUCCUCCAAGGCUAAAUACUCCUGACUGACCGAUAGUGAACCAGUACCGUGAGGGAAAGGCGAAAAGAACCCCGGCGAGGGGAGUGAAAAAGAACCUGAAACCGUGUACG
rnacentral:rRNA from 1 species